UACGGGGGGGGCAAGCGUUGUUCGGAAUUACUGGGCGUAAAGGGCUCGUAGGCGGCCAACUAAGUCGGACGUGAAAUCCCCAGGCUCAACCUGGGAACUGCGUCCGAUACUGGAUGGCUUGAAUUCGGGAGAGGGAUGCAGAAUUCCAGGUGUAGCGGUGAAAUGCGUAGAUAUCUGGAGGAAUACCGGUGGCGAAGGCGGCAUCCUGGACCGACAUUGACGCUGAGGCGCGAAAGCCAGGGGAGCAAACGGG
rnacentral:rRNA from 1 species